UUGGGGGCAUUGAACCUGAGUGGGCGAUGUUGAAAACCUCUAUUGUUGAAGCUGCGGUGAUGAGCUGUGGUCUCAAGGUCUUAGGUGCCUCAAGGGGCGGUAACCCUCGAACACCGUGGUGGACCCCGGUGGUCAGGGAAGCCGUCCGACUGAAGAAGGAGUCCUUCUGGGUUAUGUUAUCCGGGAGGACUCCGGAAACAGUUGCAGGGUACCGAAGGACUAGAAGGGCGGCAGCCUCUGCCGUGUCAGAGGCAAAGCAGCGGGUGUGGGAGAAGUUCGGAGAAGCUAUGGAGAAGGACUUUAGCACAAACAUUUCCUACAUUUCAUGCUUUAAAAACACUUUUCUUCUUUCAGCCUCUUCUGGCGUUCCAGCUUUGAGCGUUUCAGUUCAGGUUCUUCUUCAGCUUCUUCUUCAGCUUCUUCUUCAGCUUUAGCUUUAGCUUCUCCUUCAGCUUCUCCUUCAGCUUCUCCUUUAUCUUCUCCUUUAGCUUCUCCUUUAGCUUCUCCUUUAGCUUCUUCUUUAGCUUCUCCUUCAGCUUCUUCUUCUUUAACUUCUUCUUUAGCUUCUUCUUCUUCUUCAGCUGCUUCUUCUUCUUCAGCUGCUUAUUCUUCUUCUUCUUCAGCUGCUUAUUCUUCUUCUUCUUCAGCUGCUUCUUUAGCUUCUUCAGCUUCUUCUUCUUUAGCUUCUUCUUCUUCAGCUUCUUCUUCAGCUGCUUCUUUGGCUUUUUCUUUAGCUGCUUCUUUAGCUUCUUCUUCUUCAGUUUCUUCUUCAGCUUCUUCUUCAGCUUCUUCUUUAGCUUCUUCUUCUUUAGCUUCUUCAGCUUCAGGUUCUUCUUCAGCUUCUUCUUCAGCUUCUUCUUCAGCUUCUUCUUCAGCUUUAGCUUUAGCUUCUCCUUCAGCUUCUCCUUCAGCUUCUCCUUUAGCUUCUCCUUCAGCUUCUCCUUUAGCUUCUCCUUUAGCUUCUCCUUCAGCUUCUCCUUCAGCUUCUCCUUUAGCUUCUCCUUCAGCUUCUCCUUCAGCUUCUUCUUUAACUUCUUCUUUAGCUUCUUCUUUAGCUUCUCCUUCAGCUUCUUCUUCAGCUUCUUCUUCUUUAGCUUCUUCUUUAGCUUCUUCUUCUUCUUCAGCUGCUUCUUCUUCUUCAGCUGCUUCUUCAGCUGCUUAUUCUUCUUCUUCUUCAGCUGCUUCUUUAGCUUCUUCAGCUUCUUCUUCUUUAGUUUCUUCUUCUUCUUCAGCUUCUUCUUCAGCUUCUUCUUCAGCUUCUUCAGCUUCUUCUUCUUUAGCUUCUUCUUCUUUAGCUUCUUCAGCUUCAGCUUCUUCUUCAGCUUCUUCUUCAACUUCUUCUUCAGCUUCUUCUUUAGCUUCUUCUUUAGCUUCUUCUUUAGCUUCUUCUUCAGCUUCUUCUUCAGCUUCUUCUUUAGCUUCUUCUUUAUCUUCUUCUUUAGCUUCUUCUUCUUCAGUUUCUUCUUCAGAUGCUUCUUUAGCUUCUUCUUCUUCAGCUUCUUCUUCAGAUGCUUCUUUAGCUUCUUCUUCUUCAGCUUCUUCUUUAGCUUCUUCUUCUUCAGCUUCUUCUUCAGCUUCUUCUUUAGAUUCUUCUUUAGAUUCUUCUUUAGAUUCUUCUUCAGCUUCUUCUUCAGCUUCUUCUUCAGCUUCUUCUUUAGCUUCUUCUUUAGCUUUGCUCUCAGCUUCUUCUCUUAUUGCUGUUCAUCUUCCAACUUCAGCAGUAAGAUGUUUGAGCUUUAACAUUUAUCAGGCAAUUUAUUUCACAUUUCUACAUUUUGAACAAUGCUUACUAUUUAUUUUUAGCUUUCAGCUUCACAUGUUCUGCAGGAAAUGCAUUUUCCAGUUCAGCAUAAUAAAGAUGUGUUAGCUAAAAGGUUCCUAACU
rnacentral:lncRNA from 1 species